GACGAACGCUGGCGGCGUGCUUAACACAUGCAAGUCGAACGAUGAAGGAGGAGCUUGCUCCUCUGGAUUAGUGGCGAACGGGUGAGUAACACGUGAGCAAUCUGCCCUUGACUCUGGGAUAAGCGCUGGAAACGGCGUCUAAUACCGGAUACGACCCUCGGAGGCAUCUCCUGUGGGUGGAAAGAACUUCGGUCAAGGAUGAGCUCGCGGCCUAUCAGCUUGUUGGUGAGGUAAUGGCUCACCAAGGCGACGACGGGUAGCCGGCCUGAGAGGGUGACCGGCCACACUGGGACUGAGACACGGCCCAGACUCCUACGGGAGGCAGCAGUGGGGAAUAUUGCACAAUGGGCGCAAGCCUGAUGCAGCAACGCCGCGUGAGGGACGACGGCCUUCGGGUUGUAAACCUCUUUUAGCAGGGAAGAAGCGAGAGUGACGGUACCUGCAGAAAAAGCACCGGCUAACUACGUGCCAGCAGCCGCAGUAAAAC
rnacentral:rRNA from 1 species